CUCAGGUGAUGGUGGUGAGUCCUGGAAUGAUUUGGUGCAAAAUUAUGCUAAAUGGUGGGAUAAUAGAUUAAAUAAGAGGAAUGUAAAAGCUCCCGAUUUCAAGCACAAAGAAACCGGUAAAGGGUUGUGGCUUGAUUCUUCAUCAGAGUGGGUGUU